rnacentral:snoRNA from 1 species
CCUGCCCCGGUGAGGCUGCUCUGUCACAUGUGGGUCAGCAGGUGGCAGAGAGAUGUGUCUACACUCAGUGCUCUGACCUGUGAACAUCUGAAUGAUUGGCAGCUUAAGAUU